CCCGCUGAACUUAAGCAUAUCAAUAAGCGGAGGAAAAGAAACUAACAAGGAUUCCCCUAGUAACUGCGAGUGAAGAGGGAAAAGCUCAAAUUUAAAAUCUGGCAGUCUCCGAUUGUCCGAGUUGUAAUUUAGAGAAGUGUUACCCGCGUUGGACCGUGUACAAGUUUCCUGGAAUGGAACGUCAUAGAGGGUGAGAAUCCCGUCUUUGACACGGACUACCAAGGCUUUGUGGUGCGCUCUCGAAGAGUCGUGUUGUUUGGGAAUGCAGCACUAAAUGGGUGGUAAAUUCCAUCUAAAGCUAAAUAUUGGGGAGAGACCGAUAGCGAACAAGUACCGUGAGGGAAAGAUGAAAAGAACUUUGGAAAGAGAGUUAAACAGUACGUGAAAUUGCUGAAAGGGAAACGCUUGAAGUCAGUCGCGUUGGCCGGGGAUCAGCCUUCCUUUUGGUUGGUGUACUUCCUGGUCGAUGGGUCAGCAUCAGUUUUGACCGGUGGAUAAGAGCUUGAGGAAUGUGGCAUCUUCGGGUGUGUUAUAGCCUCUUGUUGUAUACAUCGGUUGGGACUGAGGAACUCAGCACGCCGCAAGGCCGGGUUUUUAACCACGUUCGUGCUUAGGAUGCUGGCAUAAUGGCUUUAAUCGACCCGUCUUGAAACACGG
rnacentral:rRNA from 1 species